rnacentral:rRNA from 1 species
AGACGAACCGGACAAACGUUAUUCGGAAUCAUUGGGCUUAAAGGGUGCGUAGGCGGUGCGGAAAGUUGGGUGUGAAAUCCCUCGGCUCAACCGAGGAACUGCGCUCAAAACUUCCGUGCUAGAGUGAGACAGAGGUGAGCGGAACUGAUGGUGGAGCGGUGAAAUGCGCUGAUAUCAUCAGGCACACCGGUGGCGAAGGCGGCUCACUGGGUCUCUACUGACGCUGAGGCACGAAAGCUAAGGUAGCGAACAGGAUUAGAUACCACGGUAGUCC